GACGUAGGGCGCGAGCGUUGUCCGGAUUUAUUGGGCGUAAAGAGCUCGUAGGCGGCUUGUCGCGUCGACUGUGAAAUCCCGCGGCUCAACUGCGGGUCUGCAGUCGAUACGGGCAGGCUAGAGUUCGGUAGGGGAGACUGGAAUUCCUGGUGUAGCGGUGAAAUGCGCAGAUAUCAGGAAGAACACCAAUGGCGAAAGCAGCUUUCUGGGACGGUACUGACGCUGAGACGCGAAAGCGUGGGGAGCGAACAGG
rnacentral:rRNA from 1 species